UAGGGAAUAUUGGACAAUGGGCGAAAGCCUGAUCCAGCCAUGCCGCGUGAGUGAAGAAGGCCUUCGGGUUGUAAAGCUCUUUUAGUCGGAAAGAAAGAGUCGCAAUGAAUAAUUGUGAUUUAUGACGGUACCGACAGAAAAAGCACCGGCUAACUACGUGCCAGCAGCCGCGGUAAUACGUAGGGGGCGAGCGUUAAUCGGAAUUACUGGGCGUAAAGGGUGCGCAGGCGGUUUUGCAAGUCAGAUGUGAAAGCCCCGGGCUUAACCUGGGAAUUGCGUUUGAAACUACAAGGCUAGAGUGCAGCAGAGGGGAGUGGAAUUCCAUGUGUAGCAGUGAAAUGCGUAGAGAUGUGGAAGAACACCGAUGGCGAAGGCAGCUCCCUGGGUUGACACUGACGCUCAUGCACGAAAGCGUGGGGAGCAAACA
rnacentral:rRNA from 1 species